UACGUAGGUGGCAAGCGUUGUCCGGAAUUAUUGGGCGUAAAGCGCGCGCAGGCGGCCUCUUAAGUCUGAUGUGAAAGCCCCCGGCUCAACCGGGGAGGGCCAUUGGAAACUGGGAGGCUUGAGUAUAGGAGAGAAGAGUGGAAUUCCACGUGUAGCGGUGAAAUGCGUAGAGAUGUGGAGGAACACCAGUGGCGAAGGCGACUCUUUGGCCUAUAACUGACGCUGGGGCGCGAAAGCGUGGGGAGCAAACAGGG
rnacentral:rRNA from 1 species